rnacentral:rRNA from 1 species
GACGAACGCUGGCGGCGUGCCUAAUACAUGCAAGUCGAGCGGAUCUCUUCGGAGAUCAGCGGCGGACGGAUGAGUAACACGUGGGCAACCUGCCUGUAAGACUGGGAUAACUCCGGGAAACCGGGGCUAAUACCGGAUAACCCUUCGGACCUCAUGGUCCGGAGCUGAAAGACGGUUAUGCUGUCACUUACAGAUGGGCCCGCGGCGCAUUAGCUAGUUGGUGAGGUAACGGCUCACCAAGGCGACGAUGCGUAGCCGACCUGAGAGGGUGAUCGGCCACACUGGGACUGAGACACGGCCCAGACUCCUACGGGAGGCAGCAGUAGGGAAUCUUCCGCAAUGGACGAAAGUCUGACGGAGCAACGCCGCGUGAGUGAAGAAGGUUUUCGGAUCGUAAAACUCUGUUGUUAGGGAAGAACAAGUACGAGAGUAACUGCUCGUACCUUGACGGUACCUAACCAGAAAGCCACGGCUAACUACGUGCCAGCAGCCGCCGCCGAAA